rnacentral:rRNA from 1 species
UGCAGUCGUCGAUAUUGAAGAGCUUGCUCUUCAUGAAAGUGGCGCACGGGUGCGUAACGCGUAUGCAACCUACCUUAAUCAGGGGGAUAGCCCGAAGAAAUUCGGAUUAACACCGCAUAAAAACACAGGAUAGCAUUAUCCAAUGUUCAAAUAUUUAUAGGAUUAAGAUGGGCAUGCGUGUCAUUAGCUAGUUGGCGGGGUAACGGCCCACCAAGGCGACGAUGACUAGGGGAUCUGAGAGGAUGACCCCCCACACUGGUACUGAGACACGGACCAGACUCCUACGGGAGGCAGCAGUAAGGAAUAUUGGUCAAUGGAGGGAACUCUGAACCAGCCAUGCCGCGUGCAGGAAGACAGCCCUCUGGGUCGUAAACUGCUUUUAUUCGGGAAUAAACCUUAUUACGUGUAAUAAGCUGAAUGUACCGAAGGAAUAAGGAUCGGCUAACUCCGUGCCAGCAGCCGCGGUAAUACGGAGGAUCCAAGCGUUAUCCGGAUUUAUUGGGUUUAAAGGGUGCGUAGGCGGCUUAUUAAGUCAGGGGUGAAAGACGGUGGCUCAACCAUCGCAGUGCCCUUGAUACUGAUGAGCUUGAAUACACUAGAGGUAGGCGGAAUGUGACAAGUAGCGGUGAAAUGCAUAGAUAUGUCACAGAACACCGAUUGCGAAGGCAGCUUACUAUGGUGUGAUUGACGCUGAGGCACGAAAGCGUGGGGAUCAAACAGGAUUAGAUACCCUGGUAGUCCACGCCCUAAACGAUGAAUACUCGCUGUUAGCGAUAUACAGUUAGCGGCUAAGCGAAAGCGUUAAGUAUUCCACCUGGGGAGUACGCCCGCAAGGGUGAAACUCAAAGGAAUUGACGGGGGCCCGCACAAGCGGAGGAGCAUGUGGUUUAAUUCGAUGAUACGCGAGGAACCUUACCCGGGCUUGAAAGUUAGUGAAUCAUUUAGAGAUAGAUGAGUGAGCAAUCACACGAAACUAGGUGCUGCAUGGCUGUCGUCAGCUCGUGCCGUGAGGUGUUGGGUUAAGUCCCGCAACGAGCGCAACCCCUAUGUUUAGUUGCCAGCACGUUAAGGUGGGGACUCUAAACAGACUGCCUGUGCAAACAGAGAGGAAGGAGGGGACGACGUCAAGUCAUCAUGGCCCUUACGUCCGGGGCUACACACGUGCUACAAUGGAUGGUACAGAGGGCAGCAAGCUGGCAACAGCAAGCAAAUCUCAAAAAGCCAUUCACAGUUCGGAUUGGGGUCUGCAACUCGACCCCAUGAAGUUGGAUUCGCUAGUAAUCGCGUAUCAGCAAUGACGCGGUGAAUACGUUCCCGGGCCUUGUACACACCGCCCGUCAAGCCAUGGAAGUUGGGGGUACCUAAAGUAUGUAACCGUAAGGAGCGU